CCUAACACAUGCAAGUCGAGCGGAUGAAGGGAGCUUGCUCUUGGAUUCAGCGGCGGACGGGUGAGUAAUGCCUAGGAAUCUGCCUGGUAGUGGGGGAUAACGUCCGGAAACGGGCGCUAAUACCGCAUACGUCCUGAGGGAGAAAGUGGGGGAUCUUCGGACCUCACGCUAUCAGAUGAGCCUAGGUCGGAUUAGCUAGUUGGUGGGGUAAAGGCCUACCAAGGCGACGAUCCGUAACUGGUCUGAGAGGAUGAUCAGUCACACUGGAACUGAGACACGGUCCAGACUCCUACGGGAGGCAGCAGUGGGGAAUAUUGGACAAUGGGCGAAAGCCUGAUCCAGCCAUGCCGCGUGUGUGAAGAAGGUCUUCGGAUUGUAAAGCACUUUAAGUUGGGAGGAAGGGCAGUAAGUUAAUACCUUGCUGUUUUGACGUUACCAACAGAAUAAGCACCGGCUAACUUCGUGCCAGCAGCCGCGGUAAUACGAAGGGUGCAAGCGUUAAUCGGAAUUACUGGGCGUAAAGCGCGCGUAGGUGGUUCAGCAAGUUGGAUGUGAAAUCCCCGGGCUCAACCUGGGAACUGCAUCCAAAACUACUGAGCUAGAGUACGGUAGAGGGUGGUGGAAUUUCCUGUGUAGCGGUGAAAUGCGUAGAUAUAGGAAGGAACACCAGUGGCGAAGGCGACCACCUGGACUGAUACUGACACUGAGGUGCGAAAGCGUGGGGAGCAAACAGGAUUAGAUACCCUGGUAGUCCACGCCGUAAACGAUGUCGACUAGCCGUUGGGAUCCUUGAGAUCUUAGUGGCGCAGCUAACGCG
rnacentral:rRNA from 1 species